rnacentral:rRNA from 1 species
GUGGGGAAUUUUGGACAAUGGGCGCAAGCCUGAUCCAGCAAUGCCGCGUGCAGGAAGAAGGCCUUCGGGUUGUAAACUGCUUUUGUACGGGAAGAAACACUCCCUCGUGAGGGAGCUUGACGGUACCGUAAGAAUAAGGAUCGGCUAACUCCGUGCCAGCAGCCGCGGUAAUACGGAGGAUCCAAGCGUUAUCCGGAAUCAUUGGGUUUAAAGGGUCCGUAGGCGGUUUAAUAAGUCAGUGGUGAAAGCCCAUCGCUCAACGAUGGAACGGCCAUUGAUACUGUUAGACUUGAAUUACAAGGAAGUAACUAGAAUAUGUAGUGUAGCGGUGAAAUGCUUAGAUAUUACAUGGAAUACCAAUUGCGAAGGCAGGUUACUACUUGUGGAUUGACGCUGAUGGACGAAAGCGUGGGGAGCGAACAGGAUUAGAUACCCCUGUAGUCC